UCCCUAGUGGCUCAGUUGGUAAAGAAUCUGUCUGCAAUGCAGGAGACCCAGGUUUGACCCCUGGGUGGGCAA
rnacentral:tRNA from 1 species